rnacentral:lncRNA from 1 species
UUUUUGCUUCCAAUUUCCGUUUCAUUUCCUCGUUGACUAACAACCCCACCACCCCCUCUGCCCCAAGCUAGGGUUUAUUCUUAUUUUUUUCCUCAAACUAUAGAGAAAAACCUUCAAAAAUAGAAUUUUUAUACUGAUUUAAGGAAGAAGAAGAAGUUUCUUGAUCAGUUGACAUGGUUUAUGAAAGCUUUGCCCCGCUAAUCAAGGCGUAAGUUUCUCUUCUCUGAACCCUUUGCAGAAUUAGUAUAUCUUUUAAGCAUAUAUCUGAAUCUUGAAAAAUCGAAAAAAGGUGGGAUUUUUUGGUUUUUUUUUUUGUGAAUUUUCAAGUGUUUGAGAAGGAUAAAGAUUCGUUCUUGGAAGUCUACAGAGAGAAACAAUAAUUGGGUGUUGAGUGUUUUGUUGGGAAACUCACUGAUUACUCAGAUUUCUGUGCUUUUGGUUCAUUUUGGGAAUUUGAAGAAUUUUUUGUUUUUGCUGAAGCUGGAGCUGAUUUGAUUUGGGGAUUAUUUACUGGUGUAUAUUGCUGUUACAGUUUCAAAGUUUGCAACUUUGUUUUUGGUUCUUGCUUGGAUACCUCUUUUGAAUUUGGUUAGGAUUGGAGACUGCUUUUUCUGGUGCUGUGUGAAUUGUAUGUCUGGGUUUUUGUGCAAUGGUUGAGAUUUCUGGAGGGUUUAUUGCAGUGGUGUAAGUGCUGAGGUUUUGUGUUGUCUGUAAGCUUAAAGGACUUUGUUUCGAUUGAUGUUCAUUGAUGGUUUGACGAAGAGGAGCUAUUCUAGGUAAAACAGCUGUAGAUAAGUAUUCAA